rnacentral:rRNA from 1 species
GUGAGUAGUUCAGAGUUUGAUCCUGGCUCAGAACGAACGCUGGCGGCGCGUCUUAAGCAUGCAAGUCGAACGAAUGGAACCCUCGGGUUCCGGAAGUGGCGGACGGGUGAGUAACACGUGGGUAAUCUGCCCCCCGGUGGGGAAUAGCACAUGGAAACAUGUGAUAAUACCGCAUGAGACGGCCCAGCACAAGCGGGGUCGGGAAAGGUCCUACGGGACCGCCGGGGGAUGAGCCCGCGGCCCAUUAGCUAGUUGGCGGGGUAAAGGCCCACCAAGGCGACGAUGGGUAGCCGGACUGAGAGGUUGAACGGCCACAUUGGGAUUGAGAACGGCCCAG